CAGGGGUUAGUUUAUAAAAUAUCGGUUUUGGGGACCGAAGAUAGGAGGAAUCUCCUACUCCUGA
rnacentral:tRNA from 1 species